rnacentral:rRNA from 1 species
UACGAAGGGUGCAAGCGUUAAUCGGAAUUACUGGGCGUAAAGGGUGCGUAGGCGGUUCGUUAAGUCUGUCGUGAAAUCCCCGGGCUCAACCUGGGAAUGGCGAUGGAUACUGGCGAGCUAGAGUGUGUCAGAGGAUGGUGGAAUUCCCGGUGUAGCAGUGAAAUGCGUAGAGAUCGGGAGGAACAUCUGUGGCGAAGGCGGCCAUCUGGACCAGCACUGACACUGAGGCACGAAAGCGUGGGGAGCAAACAGG